rnacentral:rRNA from 1 species
AUUGAACGCUGGCUGCAGGCUUAACACAUGCAAGUCGAGCGGUAACAGAGAGAAGCUUGCUUCUCUGCUGACGAGCGGCGGACGGGUGAGUAAUGCCUAGGAAUCUGCCUAGUAGUGGGGGAUAACUUGCCGAAAGGUAAGCUAAUACCGCAUACGUCCUACGGGAGAAAGGAGGGGACCUUUGGGCCUUUCGCUAUUAGAUGAGCCUAGGUCGGAUUAGUUAGUUGGUGAGGUAAUGGCUCACCAAGACCGCGAUCCGUAACUGGUCUGAGAGGAUGAUCAGUCACACUGGAACUGAGACACGGUCCAGACUCCUACGGGAGGCAGCAGUGGGGAAUAUUGGACAAUGGGGGGAACCCUGAUCCAGCCAUGCCGCGUGUGUGGAGAAGGUCUUAGGAUUGUAAAGCACUUUAAGUUGGGAGGAAGAGCAGUUAACUAAUAUUUGACUGUUUUGACGUUACCGACAGAAUAAGCACCGGCUAACUUCGUGCCAGCCGCCGCGGUAA